UACAGAGGGGGCAAGCGUUGUCCGGAUUUACUGGGCGUAAAGAGCGCGCAGGCGGUCGUACAAGUCGCGUGUGAAAGCCCCCGGCUCAACUGGGGAGGGUCACGCGAUACUGUUCGACUCGAAGGCAGGAGAGGGUAGUGGAAUUCCCGGUGUAGUGGUGAAAUGCGUAGAUAUCGGGAGGAACACCGGUGGCGAAGGCGGCGACCUGGGUAGAUACUGACGCUGAGGCGCGAAAGCGUGGGGAGCAAACAGG
rnacentral:rRNA from 1 species